GAUUCUGCCUGAGAGAUCUGGAGUGGUCUGCCAAGUCAAGUACUGCAAUAGCCUCCCUGACAUCCCCUUCGACCCCAAGUUCAUUACCCACCCCUUCGACCAGAACAGGUUUGUUCAGUACAAAGCAACUUCCUUGGAAAAACAGCACAAACAUGACCUCCUGACUGAGCCAGACCUGGGAGUCACCAUCGACCUCAUCAAUCCUGACACCUACAGCAUUGACCCCAAUGCACUCUUAGAUCCAGCUGAUGAGAAGCUUCUGGAAGAGGAGAUUCAGGCACCCACUAGCUCCAAGGGGUCUCAGCAGCAUGCGAAGGUGGUGCCAUGGAUGCGGAAGACAGAGUACAUCUCCACCGAGUUCAACCGUUAUGGCAUCUCCAAUGAGAAGCCUGAGGUCAAGACUGAGGUUUCUGUGAAACAGCAGUUCACUGAGGAAGAAAUUUACAAAGACGGGGAAAGCCAGAUUACAGCCAUUGAGAAGACUUUUGAGGAUGCCCAGAAGUCGAUCUCCCAGCAUUACCGCAAGCCCCGAGUGACACCAGUGGAGGUCAUGCCUGUCUUCCCAGACUUUAAGAUGUGGAUUAAUCCAUGCGCUCAGGUAAUCUUUGACUCAGAUCCGGCCCCCAAGGACACGAGUGGAGCAGCUGCAUUGGAGAUGAUGUCUCAGGCCACGAUCAGGGGCAUGAUGGAUGAGGAAGGGAACCAGUUUGUGGCCUACUUCCUGCCUGUGGAAGAGAGGCUGAAGAAACAGAAGCGGGAUCAGGAGGAGGAGAUGGACUAUGCACCGGAUGAUGUGUAUGACUAUAAGAUUGCUCGAGAAUACAACUGGAAUGUGAAGAACAAGGCUAGUAAGGGUUACGAAGAAAACUACUUCUUCAUCUUCCGAGAGGGCGAUGGAGUUUACUAUAAUGAGUUGGAGACCAGAGUCCGCCUGAGCAAGUGCAGGGCCAAGGCUGGGGUUCAGUCGGGUACCAGUGCCCUGCUUGUGGUCAAACACCGGGACAUGAACGAGAAGGAAUUAGAAGCCCAGGAGGCACGGAAGGCCCAGCUGGAGAACGAUGAACCCGAGGAAGAAGAGGAAGAGGAAAUGGAGACAGAAGAGAAAGAAGCUGGGGGCUCAGACGAGGAGCGAGAGAAGGGCACAGCAGUGAGAAGGAAGGCAGUGAGGAUGAGCGCUCAGGCAGUGAGAGUGACCGGGAGGAGGGUGACAGGGAUGAGGCCAGUGACAAGAGUGGCAGUGACCAGGACGAGAGAAGCGAAGAUGAGGCCCGAGCUGCUCGGGACAAAGAGGAGAUCUUCGGCAGUGAUGCGGAUUCAGAGGAUGCGGACUCUGAUGAUGAGGACAGAGGACGGGCCCAUGGCAGUGACAAUGAUUCAGGGAGUGGCAGCGAUGGGGGUGGCCAGCGGAGCCUCAGCCCCAGCUGCAGUGCCAGUCCUUUCCCCAGUGGCAGCGAGCACUCAGCGCAGGAGGAUGGCAGUGAAGUCGCAGCUUCUGAUUCCAGUGAAGCGGACAGUGACAGUGACUGAGUCCUUUCAGGGCUGAUGCAGACAUGAUUAUGUACAGAAAGGCACUUUUCCGUGGUGUAUUUGUGAG